UGGGGUGAGAGGGACAAGGGACUGAGGGGCUGCCGGUGCGUUUCUCCAGGCUACCCUCCCCAAGAGCCUUUGGCCAAGGGUGCGGCGAACGGCGUAGCCCGGGGCUUGAGCCCUGGGGCUUCGCACGGAUUUGAGAAAAUGGCAUUGAAUCCCAAAUGAAAGAGGAUAAAGGAGUUCAUAAAAGAACUAAGAUUACUCAAUGACUCCAUUUCAGCAGUCAUUGAUCUGGUUGAUUUUGUCCUGGAAAUCCCCCUGCUUGGUGAUGUGCUGGGCUGCUGUUUGCAAGGAUUACAGAUGAAGCAAAAGUCUUCCUGUUAGGUGAAGUUUGUGAGUGUUUGUGCACAUGUCUACAAUGCAUGUACACACGUUAUGUUUUUGCGUGUCCUAAAGAUUAAAGGUGGAUUUUGAGUGCACCAGGAGAAACCUUAGAAAGAGUUGAGGUUCUGUGGUUUUAGGGGAUUUUGUUGAUUCCUUGAAAAUGAAGUUACUAAAUUAAGAAAGCUCUUGCAUCACUAAUGACUAGUGUCGUCCAGACUAACCUAACUCUACAAAGUUUAGAGAACUUGCUCAUAGGUCAGCACCUACGGAGAUUAGUACUCAUAUGCUAAGCUUCAAAUGCUUUUCUUAGGUAUCCUUUAAAAGCUUUGGAAAAAUAUGAACCCUAAGAUACUUAGCACUUUAAUUAUAUGUUUAAGUAUUUAACAAUGAAUUUGAAA